GAGGAGAAGCACAACACUAUUACUAGUACACCUGUACACAGUUGUCAACAGAAUAUCGUCUGCCAGUCACCGCGUGCCAUGUUUGAAGUCAACUGCGAAGUAUUUAACCUGGAAGACCUCUCCACCUGUGCCAAUGAACGACUCAUCAUAUCCUACAACACCACUUCCUCCACAUUCUGCGGGAAUAUUACAUCUACCUGGGUCUUCCCCACCAACGAGAUGAACCUCGAAUUCAUAACCAAUGGCCAGCAUAACUCCCCUGGGUACAAAUGUUCCAUCACGUGCCUAAGAGAACAAACCAAUGACCAACCACAACAAGUAAUGUGAGAAGCAGCUGCCUCUCUCUUACCUGCACCACGACUACCAGGACCACUAUGAGGAAUUCCUUGGGAUUUGUUCAUCUGAAGGAGUGACAUGCUAGUGUUCCAGGCUUCACUAACCCCUGGACCCGGAAACCUGACCAAACCUUCCUAUGUCAGCCUGGCCUAAUGUAACCUGUCCCUUAAUGACCUAACCCACCUAUCCCCAGCAAACCCUAAAUUUAUCACCUCUAACAUGACCCAAUGUAACCUAACCAAUACAGCACUUUAUAGAGACAUGUCAUCACUACUUGUGUAAGACUUUAUCAAGACAUUAUAUAUUAUCUAUUAAUCAUUUAGAGAAUCUUGGCAGAAUAUAAUAAAAUAUUGCACCUCAAA